rnacentral:rRNA from 1 species
ACAGCAGUAGCCACGGGAAUACGAAGGGGGCUAGCGUUGUUCGGAUUUACUGGGCGUAAAGCGCACGUAGGCGGACUUUUAAGUCAGGGGUGAAAUCCCGGGGCUCAACCCCGGAACUGCCUUUGAUACUGGAAGUCUUGAGUAUGGUAGAGGUGAGUGGAAUUCCGAGUGUAGAGGUGAAAUUCGUAGAUAUUCGGAGGAACACCAGUGGCGAAGGCGGCUCACUGGACCAUUACUGACGCUGAGGUGCGAAAGCGUGGGGAGCAAACAGGAUUAGAUACCCCUGUAGUCCCUGUCUCUUAUAC